UACAGAGGGGGCAAGCGUUGUUCGGAAUUACUGGGCGUAAAGGGUGCGUAGGCGGUCGGGUAAGUCUGACGUGAAAUCUUCAAGCUCAACUUGGAAACUGCGUCCGAUACUAUUCGGCUAGAGGAAUGGAGGGGAGACUGGAAUACUUGGUGUAGCAGUGAAAUGCGUAGAUAUCAAGUGGAACACCAGUGGCGAAGGCGAGUCUCUGGACAUUUCCUGACGCUGAGGCACGAAAGCCAGGGGAGCAAACGGG
rnacentral:rRNA from 1 species